UCGCUUGUUGUUUUGGUCUCUCUAUAACCUGGCCGAAGGGUGUGGAGGGCGUGGAGUGUCCCAUUCGGUGGUGAUGUGGUUACGGGUGAUUUCCUUGAGAGACCUGCAGCCACUUAGUGCCAUUGUCAGCUCGAACUCAUCACGUAGCAUCUGAAGCACUUUUCUGACUCCAGCUUCUCCUUCAGCAGCAAGUGAGAACACCACUGGUCUUCCAAUCUGUGAUUUGAGAAGGCAUACAAAUAUAGUGUUAUUACUAUCAAAGGUGUCAAGCAGCUUUCUGGUAAAUUAAAGAUACGAUGCUUACAAAUAUCCCGGAAGCUCCAAGAGCAAGUGCCUUGAAAACAUCAGUGCCACGGCGAACACCACCGUCUAAGAAGACAGGGAUACGUCCUUGUGUCGCCUUGACAACCUGAACACAGGACAACAAAGCUGAAGUUGUUGCUGUACAUGAGCACACCAAUUUGAUCUUUAUAGUGGAGAAUGAUGUACCUCUUCAAGGGCUGAGAUUGUUGCUGGGACAUAGUCAAGCUGGCGAGCUCCAUGGUUUGACACAAUGAUCCCUGCUGCUCCAGCUUGAACCGCUAUCCUUGCUGUACGGAGGAUAACAAUAGUUGACUUAGACUAAACUUAAGUGAAGAAGACACAUUUGUUUGUCAGAUGGUAAACUCACCAUCCUCCCCGGUGAUAACACCCUUGACAAGAAUCGGCAUUUUGGUGAUUGUCUGGAGCCACUGGACAUCCUGUUUGUGUAGAUGAAAGUUAGACUUGUCCUAAAUCAAGUUUAACUACCCGGUUUGAUGUUUUAUCUCUUAAACUAUUUUACUCUCGUACCUUCCAGCUUAAGGUUCGGUCAAUUUGACCAGCAACAUAUGAAGCCAAGCCAGAGUCAUUGGCCUGCAGGUGGGAAGAGAACAAGCUCAAGAAACUUAAACAUAACAAGACUGCUUUAAGACUUGUUUUGAGAAACAUAUUCAGAUAGUAUCUGAUGGAUACUUACCUCGUCCAUCUUUCCAAGGUCAAGACCUUCAAAGUUCUUCAGUGUCAGGUUUGGAGGCAAAGUGAAUCUGUAUAAGAAGACCACACAACACUUUAUGCUUUCUAGCUCUGUAUCUGCAUCUUAAAAUCCAAUCAACUAUGAUCACAUUUUUAACUGACUUGGCAUUUACCUGUUCUUGAUAUCAGACUCUCUGCGACCUAGCCUUGGGGUGUCUACAGUGAGAGCAAUGGCUUUGAACCCUGCCCUCUCGGCUCUUCUCACCAGCUGCUCAACAACAUUUCUGUUCUUGUAUACCUACUCAGAACAAUCAUAACGUGUCAAAAAAUCAGGCGUGGCCAGGUCUUAAGACAAGUAACUGAGAUUACUUACAUAGAGCUGGAAAAAACGAAUCCCUGGCCCUGUGGAAGCAACUUCCUCGACACUGGAAGUAGCCCAUGAAGAUAGUGUCUGAAAGCAUCAUGUAAUAAUUCAAAACAUAGACAUGAGUAUUGUGUAUUUGGAUUAAGAAGCUCCGAACACCAAUAAGUUUAUGUAUCUUGCUUUAGAUUAAAAUGUUUAGUAAUGACAUAAUAACAUACCAUGAUGGUUCCAGCAGCAGAGGCAGCUCUAGCCGUAGCAUAUUCGCCUGUAUUAGUUUCCAUCAUACUCGUUAGAGCAAAUCCUUAGUCUCUAGUGAUGCUAAAACUAAUUUCCACUCUCUACGUUAUUUUUCUUCUACAGAAUGUUUUACCUUCAGGGUGAGCCAUCUUCUGCAUGGCAGUAGGAGCAACCAUGAUGGGCAUGGAGAUCUUGAAACCCAAGAUGGUUGUUGUCAUAUCAAUCUUGCUCACAUCAAUCAGAAUCCGAGGUCGAAAGCUGUUUAAACAUCCCAAAGGUAUCAAAUCACAUAUCUUGUUAAACCAUUUAACCAAACAAAAAAGUAUAUUGUCUUAAAGAACAGAAAAAAACUAACAGGAUCCUAGCGAAAGCGUUUCUGUUCUCUUGAAGAGUCCAUUGGUCCUCUGCACCAGAGGCAUAGUAGUCGUAUACCAUCUUAGGCAACUUCUCCUUUGCAAUCGCUUCAUACUCGGUUACGUUUGUGAUCUCCAUUUUCAGAUGUUAAUCUGUCAAAAGAGCAAAAACAAAGGGCUUGAGUUAGUUUAUCUGUUGUAAUAUUCAGACAAAGUCUUAUCCAAACAAGUCCAUGAACGCUGUUUGGUAUUAAAAACAGAAACACUCACUCACUUCUGACGAGAACUAAGCUCUCCGGAGAGAAUGAAGGUUGUGUAUAGCAAAGAAACCUUAUAUAAUUUUAUAUAUGUCAACGUUUAUAUGUUGAUUAUGUUGUGAUGGGUUAACUUAGCUUGUGGAUUCUGUAAACAGAUGAAAAAAACUGUUGGCAAUAGAAACUGAUAUGGAUGAGAUUCUAAAGGUUAAGAAUGAAUAAGGAGAUACGGACAAAGAUCAGAUGGAAUCUGUGUGUAUCUGAUUCAUUAAGCAACUUUGUGUGCUCCUUAGAUUUUCUUUCCUAUUAUCGCUCCUAAUAAUUUGUAAGCCAUUUGUUUUUUAUUCCUCCUUUUUUGUAAGGACGUAAUUAUCCAAGAGUUGAUGAAAGUAAAAAAGCAUCCAGAGGAGGAAGAACUUGAUUCAUGAGCCAAAUGAUAUAAAACAAUAGGCCUAGUUAUAAUAUUCAAGCCCAAAAACUUGUCACACCUCUCUGACCCGACCCUCUGCACUAUUGAUUGAACAUACCUAUGUAUGUUACCACAUUACGUAUAUCUAUGUUCUUGCAUUGUAUUGUUUUGUGCUCUUUUGCUUUGUGAACCGAUCUCUAGUUGUCUCUGUUGUAUAAGAAAGAAGAAUGGGACUGAAGGUAGAAGUAGCCAAAUAGCAUAAUAGUGAAUCUCUAGUCUGUUUUGAGAUUUCGAUACGGAGAGAAACAAGUUUUUCUUUGAUAUAAACAGCAGAGUAUGAAGCCAAAGUUGACCAAGCAGAAGAAUAUCAAGAGGUUUAGCCAUAUUACAUAGCUCUCUCUUGUUAUUGUUCUCUGGUUUGGUGGUCUCUAUAACUUAGGCAAAUGGCGUGGAGUGUCCCACUCGGUGACAAUGUGGUUCCGAGUGAUCUCACUGAGAGACCUGCAUCCACUUAGUGCCAUGGUUAGCUCGAACUCAUCACGUAACAUCUGAAGCACUUUUCUAACUCCAGCUUCUCCUUCAGCAGCAAGUGAGAAU
rnacentral:lncRNA from 1 species